ensembl:miRNA mir18a microRNA 18a
GUACUGUCUUUGUGCUAAGGUGCAUCUAGUGCAGAUAGUGAAAUAGACUAGCACCUACUGCCCUAAGUGCUCCUUCUGGCAUAAGGGGCUGU